GAUGAACGCUGGCGGCGUGCCUAAUACAUGCAAGUCGAGCGAAUGGAUUGAGAGCUUGCUCUUAUGAAGUUAGCGGCGGACGGGUGAGUAACACGUGGGUAACCUGCCCAUAAGACUGGGAUAACUCCGGGAAACCGGGGCUAAUACCGGAUAACAUUUUGAACCGCAUGGUUCGAAAUUGAAUGGCGGCUUCGGCUGUCACUUAUGGAUGGACCCGCGUCGCAUUAGCUAGUUGGUGAGGUAACGGCUCACCAAGGCAACGAUGCGUAGCCGACCUGAGAGGGUGAUCGGCCACACUGGGACUGAGACACGGCCCAGACUCCUACGGGAGGCAGCAGUAGGGAAUCUUCCGCAAUGGACGAAGGUCUGACGGAGCAACGCCGCGUGAGUGAUGAAGGCUUUCGGGUCGUAAAACUCUGUUGUUAGGGAAGAACAAGUGCUAGUUGAAUAAGCUGGCACCUUGACGGUACCUAACCAGAAAGCCACGGCUAACUACGUGCCAGCCGCCGCGGUAA
rnacentral:rRNA from 1 species